rnacentral:rRNA from 1 species
UUAAGUUAUUAAGGGCGCACGGUGGAUGCCUUGGCACUAGAAGCCGAUGAAGGACGUUACUAACGACGAUAUGCUUUGGGGAGCUGUAAGUAAGCUUUGAUCCAGAGAUUUCCGAAUGGGGAAACCCAGCAUGAGUUAUGUCAUGUUAUCGAUAUGUGAAUACAUAGCAUAUCAGAAGGCACACCCGGAGAACUGAAACAUCUUAGUACCCGGAGGAAGAGAAAGAAAUUCGAUUCCCUUAGUAGCGGCGAGCGAAACGGGAAGAGCCCAAACCAACAAGCUUGCUUGUUGGGGUUGUAGGACACUCUAUACGGAGUUACAAAGGACGACAUUAGACGAAUCAUCUGGAAAGAUGAAUCAAAGAAGGUAAUAAUCCUGUAGUCGAAAAUGUUGUCUCUCUUGAGUGGAUCCUGAGUACGACGGAGCACGUGAAAUUCCGUCGGAAUCUGGGAGGACCAUCUCCUAAGGCUAAAUACUCUCUAGUGACCGAUAGUGAACCAGUACCGUGAGGGAAAGGUGAAAAGCACCCGGAAGGGGAGUGAAAUAGAACCUGAAACCGUGUGCUUACAAGUAGUCAGAGCCCGUUAAUGGGUGAUGGCGUGCCUUUUGUAGAAUGAACCGGCGAGUUACGAUUUGAUGCAAGGUUAAGCAGUAAAUGUGGAGCCGUAGCGAAAGCGAGUCUGAAUAGGGCGUUUAGUAUUUGGUCGUAGACCCGAAACCAGGUGAUCUACCCUUGGUCAGGUUGAAGUUCAGGUAACACUGAAUGGAGGACCGAACCGACUUACGUUGAAAAGUGAGCGGAUGAACUGAGGGUAGCGGAGAAAUUCCAAUCGAACCUGGAGAUAGCUGGUUCUCUCCGAAAUAGCUUUAGGGCUAGCCUCAAGUGAUGAUUAUUGGAGGUAGAGCACUGUUUGGACGAGGGGCCCCUCUCGGGUUACCGAAUUCAGACAAACUCCGAAUGCCAAUUAAUUUAACUUGGGAGUCAGAACAUGGGUGAUAAGGUCCGUGUUCGAAAGGGAAACAGCCCAGACCACCAGCUAAGGUCCCAAAAUAUAUGUUAAGUGGAAAAGGAUGUGGCGUUGCCCAGACAACUAGGAUGUUGGCUUAGAAGCAGCCAUCAUUUAAAGAGUGCGUAAUAGCUCACUAGUCGAGUGACACUGCGCCGAAAAUGUACCGGGGCUAAACAUAUUACCGAAGCUGUGGAUUGUCCUUUGGACAAUGGUAGGAGAGCGUUCUAAGGGCGUUGAAGCAUGAUCGUAAGGACAUGUGGAGCGCUUAGAAGUGAGAAUGCCGGUGUGAGUAGCGAAAGACGGGUGAGAAUCCCGUCCACCGAUUGACUAAGGUUUCCAGAGGAAGGCUCGUCCGCUCUGGGUUAGUCGGGUCCUAAGCUGAGGCCGACAGGCGUAGGCGAUGGAUAACAGGUUGAUAUUCCUGUACCACCUAUAAUCGUUUUAAUCGAUGGGGGGACGCAGUAGGAUAGGCGAAGCGUGCGAUUGGAUUGCACGUCUAAGCAGUAAGGCUGAGUAUUAGGCAAAUCCGGUACUCAUUAAGGCUGAGCUGUGAUGGGGAGAAGACAUUGUGUCUUCGAGUCGUUGAUUUCACACUGCCGAGAAAAGCCUCUAGAUAGAAAAUAGGUGCCCGUACCGCAAACCGACACAGGUAGUCAAGAUGAGAAUUCUAAGGUGAGCGAGCGAACUCUCGUUAAGGAACUCGGCAAAAUGACCCCGUAACUUCGGGAGAAGGGGUGCUCUUUAGGGUUAACGCCCAGAAGAGCCGCAGUGAAUAGGCCCAAGCGACUGUUUAUCAAAAACACAGGUCUCUGCUAAACCGUAAGGUGAUGUAUAGGGGCUGACGCCUGCCCGGUGCUCGAAGGUUAAGAGGAGUGGUUAGCUUCUGCGAAGCUACGAAUCGAAGCCCCAGUAAACGGCGGCCGUAACUAUAACGGUCCUAAGGUAGCGAAAUUCCUUGUCGGGUAAGUUCCGACCCGCACGAAAGGCGUAACGAUUUGGGCACUGUCUCAACGAGAGACUCGGUGAAAUCAUAGUACCUGUGAAGAUGCAGGUUACCCGCGACAGGACGGAAAGACCCCGUGGAGCUUUACUGUAGCCUGAUAUUGAAAUUCGGCACAGCUUGUACAGGAUAGGUAGGAGCCUUUGAAACGUGAGCGCUAGCUUACGUGGAGGCGCUGGUGGGAUACUACCCUAGCUGUGUUGGCUUUCUAACCCGCACCACUUAUCGUGGUGGGAGACAGUGUCAGGCGGGCAGUUUGACUGGGGCGGUCGCCUCCUAAAAGGUAACGGAGGCGCUCAAAGGUUCCCUCAGAAUGGUUGGAAAUCAUUCAUAGAGUGUAAAGGCAUAAGGGAGCUUGACUGCGAGACCUACAAGUCGAGCAGGGUCGAAAGACGGACUUAGUGAUCCGGUGGUUCCGCAUGGAAGGGCCAUCGCUCAACGGAUAAAAGCUACCCCGGGGAUAACAGGCUUAUCUCCCCCAAGAGUUCACAUCGACGGGGAGGUUUGGCACCUCGAUGUCGGCUCAUCGCAUCCUGGGGCUGUAGUCGGUCCCAAGGGUUGGGCUGUUCGCCCAUUAAAGCGGUACGCGAGCUGGGUUCAGAACGUCGUGAGACAGUUCGGUCCCUAUCCGUCGUGGGCGUAGGAAAUUUGAGAGGAGCUGUCCUUAGUACGAGAGGACCGGGAUGGACAUACCUCUGGUGUACCAGUUGUCGUGCCAACGGCAUAGCUGGGUAGCUAUGUGUGGACGGGAUAAGUGCUGAAAGCAUCUAAGCAUGAAGCCCCCCUCAAGAUGAGAUUUCCCAACUUCGGUUAUAAGAUCCCUCAAAGAUGAUGAGGUUAAUAGGUUCGAGGUGGAAGCAUGGUGACAUGUGGAGCUGAUGAAUACUAAUCGAUCGAAGACUUAAUCAA